rnacentral:rRNA from 1 species
GACGAACGCUGGCGGCGUGCCUAAUACAUGCAAGUUGAGCGAUGAAGAUUGGUGCUUGCACCAAUUUGAAGAGCAGCGAACGGGUGAGUAACGCGUGGGGAAUCUGCCUUUGAGCGGGGGACAACAUUUGGAAACGAAUGCUAAUACCGCAUAAUAACUUUAAACAUAAGUUUUAAGUUUGAAAGAUGCAAUUGCAUCACUCAAAGAUGAUCCCGCGUUGUAUUAGCUAGUUGGUGAGGUAAAGGCUCACCAAGGCGAUGAUACAUAGCCGACCUGAGAGGGUGAUCGGCCACAUUGGGACUGAGACACGGCCCAAACUCCUACGGGAGGCAGCAGUAGGGAAUCUUCGGCAAUGGACGAAAGUCUGACCGAGCAACGCCGCGUGAGUGAAGAAGGUUUUCGGAUCGUAAAACUCUGUUGGUAGAGAAGAACGUUGGUGAGAGUGGAAAGCCCAUCAAGUGACGGUAACUACCCAGAAAGGGACGGCUAACUACGUG